CCAGCUAUGCUGUGUUUUUACAUGCUCAGUUCUCAUGCUUGGGUGUAAAAGUGAGCACAGAUAAACAGACUGCUAAAUAAUAUUGUUGGAUGCCUUUUGCCUUGGAGAAUACAUAUCUAGAGGAGUGACGCGAGACGGAGCACUUGAGAUGCUGCAGUAGAGAUCCGAGGGGGAGAACAGAGGAAGAUCAGAGAGGACAAGCUGUGGCUAAUAAGUAGAGAAAAGAGCGAAAAAAGUGGAUUUUUGCAGUUGAAAACCCUAACUUGCCAGGUCGGGAACUGAUGGGGGAUUUUAUGAAAACUAAGCCACACCGGUUUUGCUCGGUCGGAGCAAGGACUGGUCUGCACUGUGCGGGCGUGCACAUGCAUAGACGGGAUCCAAGAUGGCGAGCUAGACCCGGAUCUUCACCUCACCUUCUCCAACCCAUCAGUGAGGAAAUCUUCUGCAUAUGGUGACUCGCUGCCAGAGUGGCAGGAGUAUCCGGAGUUAGUUUUGAACUGAACUGAGAACUGAACACUUGAACUCACAUUUGGAUUCUAACUUGAAUUGGAAGUGUCAAACUUUUAUUUGUAUAUUGAGUUCAUACUUCUGAAUGUGAUUUGAAAUGAUUGUGGUCCACUUUGAUUGUGUAAUUGAAGGGAAAAACGAGUUAACUCGGGAAGAAAAACAGGAAUUCCAAAAUAGGUGUAACCUAGAAAAAAAAAACGACUGGUCCAAUAUAACUUACAUUAGCUGUACUAAAAUAAAUUUGGUGAACUAAAGAAAGUGAAAUAUCUUUUCAUUUAAUAUAUUUACCCCAAUAUUAAGAACCUGCAGGGUAUUUUUUUUUAUUUGUGUACUGUACUUUAUUUGUGUUGUUGCAUUCAUUAAAUUGCCGGCCUUUUGCAGUUAAA